CGUCCAGUUAGUCUGUAGGCUGGGGAAGGGGACCCCACCCACCCAGGGGGUCCUGAGUGCGAGUUCUGAAGGGGAUGGGGAGGGAAUGGAUUACGUACUCUGAAACCACGGCAUUGGUUCAAAUUCCAUAGUGACCGUUGACGAAAAAUGGGGUCUGCAGGCCUGGUCCGGCGGUGUGACCACUGGUGUCACUCUAUCUUCGGCUUUAUUUUAAUCAACAUGCCAGGAACAUUGGUAAAAAGGUCAGUUGUAAAAUGAAAUGUCACAAGUUAGGGAUCAAUGGUUACAUAGACAUUGCUCAAGUUUCCGUUUCUCCUGAGAAACUGACCUGGGGUCAACUGAAAAGAAUUUAGGCCUCAGUCAGCAAGAGAGGGUCUGUUUUCUUUUAAAAGAUUGGCCCUAAGUUAACAUCUGUUGCCAAUCUUCCUCCUUUUAUUUUUCCUUCUCCCCAAAGCCCCCCUGAGCUGACACUGGGCUACUGGGGUAACCCAGCACAGUCUCCCCGACUCAAGAGCCGCGUCUGCCAAGUGCCCUUGCCAUGGAGGGUGACGUGCUCACAAGUUGUGAGCAUUGAUGCCGAUCUUUUUGGGGACCAUUAUUCUGCCUACAGCAGCAAAGUGGUCAUCAAAGGCAGCAGGCGUUUGAGUUCUGAAUGCAAGCAGAAGAGUCUUCCCUCCCUCCAGAGAUGUCCGUCAACUGCGUCCCGGUCCAAGAAGGUGGGCCACGCAGGCGAGAACGGGGACCACGUGUGCGGAGCAGGGCCACGGCUGCCACAGCCAGCAGCCAUUCCCUGGGCCAACAGCACAGACGAAGGUGGCUCCAGGAUCCAGAAUCAGGCGCGGACGGUGGAGGAAGAAUGUGAAUUUAGUCAUCCCCAACAAAUCCUUUGAUGUCUUCAGAAAGUCCCAAGUUACUGUUGGAUGUGGACACUCACAGCCCUGACAUCCUCUUUCUCCAAGAAGCAGAGCUGAGCCCCCAGAGGAAGGCGUUUAUCAGCCAAGUGCAAGGCACCCCAGGGGAAGCAGGGACGUGAGACAGCAAAGGAGGGGACUAGGAGGCAGCAGUGGAGGGGUGUGAGGAGGCCAGAUCACUGCGGGACGCUGGAGCUCCAGCCCUCCAGGAAACUGGAACCCGCACCUUCGAGGGGCGAGGGGGCUGGGCGUUCCACACCAGCCUUCAGUCCCGCUGCAGACACUGCUGGGGCCAUCAAGUCCCGGCACACAUGGAUGUGGACAGUGAGGCCUCCUGCGGUCUAGCAGACGGCUGUCAGGCAAAGAGGAGAUGCAGCUAGAACUGGGGUGGAGCCCACAGGCCAGAGUGUUGGUGACCCACCAACUGCUUCUGCAACACUUACGUCUAGAGAGAACAUUCCGGAACCCACCACAGACAGAUCCAGGUAAAGACCACCCCUUCCAGAAGGGGGCUUGGAUAUCAGCCUCACAAGCCAUGCUGGUGCUCACCUCCAGGGCGGGAGGAGUAGGAUGAGGAGCAGAGCUCUGCAGGCGACUGUCUGAGGCUGAAUCCUGCUCUGCCGCCCACCUGCCAGUUCCGUGACCUUGAGCGUCUCUUAGCCUCUCUGCGCCUCAUUUUCCCCUCUGCAAAGGGGAGGCGAUGACAAGACUUCUCUGGGAGGGUGGUUGGGAGGAUUUAAUGUAUUCAUACAGAUAAAGCUCUUAAAAAGUUCACGCCAUAAUAAGCGCUCAGACAUUUUUUACUCCAUAUCUUUUGUGAAUUGCCUUUGUUUAUAAACACUCUGAUAUGGUGGGUGCUCAAAGGUUUUAACAAUAAUUUCCUCACUAUAACUAACCCAGAAUUGGUGGAGGCGUUGCUGUGAAAAUGAAAACGAGGCGCCCAUGGUAUCGUGAGCUGGUCUCCAGAGAACCCGGGGAAGGCGUGUGGCCCAUGAGCAGUCCGGGGAGGUCACCUGUAGAGUAGAUUUGUCACCCAAAGAGCCUGCGACGAGCUUAUUAUGGGAAUCUGAUAUUCAGUUUGCUAGCUUGUAGAUAUAAAAGAAAAUAAUCUAGAAAAAAUAAGGUUUUAAAAACAACGCGUGCGAAGUCUUUAAAUACGUAGUUUUCCACACAGUUGACCAUAUGCAUGCUGGCAAUAGUGAGGAGGAUUUUAGGCUGCUUACUUUUAAAACUGCAGAUGAGAAGCAGGCUCCGAGGACUGGAAUUUUGCUUGCCCUUUUGAGACAUUUGCGUUUGUGAAGGAAGGGGGGAUGACCUUGUAGGGACCUGAAAUUGGCCACCCCAAGAUAUGACUCUUUGGCAUCGGGAUUGUUUUGGGCUGAUAGCUUUUGAUAAACUGGGACAGGGAAGGAGGCUCUGGGGAAUGGAACUUGCCCUUGUUGGGACACAUUUACAUUUGUAAGGUAAAUCUCUAUCUGUAAAAGGUGCCUCCCUCUCUGUACCAGGAAGAAGAAGAAGAGAGAUGACCUUGUCCCUAGAAACUCUUAAUGGGGAAGGCAAGAACUUAAGUUGGUUGCUGUCUGGCAAUCUCAUGUAACUGAUUUAGGGUGGUGGCUUCUGACCUUUCUAACCUUUACUUAAUCCGAUUUGAUUCUUGUCUAAAAGUCAUGGGAUCACCCAACGACCAGACCCCACCUGCACUGGUACCAUUUUAACUUUUUUUUCAUGUUCUUUCCUUUGUCUUUGUAAAGAGAUGACUCACAUACCUAUGCCUUAAAUUUAGCCCUAACCCUCAACUCGGGGCAGCAGCAGGAGCUCUGCCUGCCCAUGGGUCCUGUCCCCAUGCCAGUGGGGGCAGCAGCAGCUGCUCUGCCUGACCAUGGGCCCUGUCCCCAUGCCAGCGGGGGCAGCAGAAGCGGCGGCAGCAGAAGCUCUGACUGCCCAUGGGUCCUGUCCCCAUGCUAUUCCACACUAUUCUCUAAAUAAAAGAGCACUACUGCCAGAUCUUAAGAGUCUAAGAAAUCUUUCUUU
rnacentral:lncRNA from 1 species